ACACCGACUUCAAGUGGAAGCCGGUGUCGUGGCAGCGCCUGCACCCCGCGCUGCGGCCGCGCAGCACGGCGCAGCAGCGCCUCGACUACAUCGUCAGCGAGGCCAAGAUACCGCUCGGGGUGGCGUGAGUCAUGUCUUGUUGUUAUCUGUACUAUAUACAAGUGCACGAGGACACCGACUUCAAGUGGAAGCCGGUGUCGUGGCAGCGCCUGCACCCCGCGCUGCGGCCGCGCAGCACGGCGCAGCAGCGCCUCGACUACAUCGUCAGCGAGGCCAAGAUACCGCUCGGGGUGGCGUGAGUCAUGUCUUGUUGUUAUCUGUACUAUAUACAAGUGCACGAGGACACCGACUUCAAGUGGAAGCCGGUGUCGUGGUAGCGCCUGCACCGCGCUGCGGCCGCGCAGCACGGCGCAGCAGCGCCUCGACUACAUCGUCAGCGAGGCCAAGAUACCGCUCGGGGUGGCGUGAGUCAUGUCUUGUUGUUAUCUGUACUAUAUACAGUGCACGAGGACACCGACUUCAAGUGGAAGCCGGUGUCGUGGCAGCGCCUGCACCCCGCGCUGCGGCCGCGCAGCACGGCGCAGCAGCGCCUCGACUACAUCGUCAGCGAGGCCAAGAUACCGCUCGGGGUGGCAUUGUUUUGAAUCGGGACGCCAAUCUGCGGAAUGAAGAGAGAAUCUGCCAAUAGCGGAGGGAAGAAUCAAAUAUCAGCUAAGUAUUAAACGAUAUAACACCGUGUGAUAAUUGUAAUAAAGUCGAAAUUACCGUGCAAGGGGGGACAGGAUUAGUCUAAGUUGGAUAGCUUAUAAUAUCUUCUAACUUUGGCUUUCUAUAACUUAUCUAUCGUUGAUUGUAGAUAGGUUAUAGGAAUCCGCAGUAAGUCUAUUGAUUCUUAUUUUUUGACUGAUUGCCCAGCAUUUCUGAAAUCAUUUGAAAAAUAUAAUACUUUUACUUGUUGUCUAAACUAAAUUGAAUCUCUGAUGAUACUAAUCCAAUUUAGAUAGAUCCGAAUUGGAUAGGAAAAAUAUAAGAUCUUUAAUACGAGUUGCUUUCAGUAUUAAUUAUUAUAGUAACGGAAAACAAAAUUAAUAAUAUGUUCCAUUAAACAAAUCUGUGCUAUAUUUUAUAGUAUUGAAAGCAGCUAUCGAAAAACAUCAAUUGGAAUGCGAUUUAAGUUUUAUAGUUUCUUUAUAUCUUUAAUAUUAUACCCGUAGAUGUAGGUAAAAUAUAAAAAGUAUAAAAAAAAUGUUUUCUUGCUCUAUACCUAAGUGUGAAAUUUAUCAAAGUUAGAGCCGAAAAUAUAUAAUGAAAAUCUAGGCCUAAUGGAAAUCUCUUGGAUGGCAUUAAAUAUGUCUUUGUAGGUGUAUAAGUAUAUUUUAUAUGAAUAUGAUCGCAUAUCUUAUAUCUGUUACCCAAUACAAGCGAUCUGACUACUCUAUGGUACUGUGUUCUAUACUUUUUGGUAUUUUGAACGAAGCAGUUGGUGAAAUAUUCUAACAACGUAUCGAAAAAUUGUUAAAAACAUUUUGAAAAUUAUUAUAAACAAAAAUAAAAGCUCCUGUGAUAAUUUUUCGCGUUAAAAAUAUUAACUUGACCAACCAAGAAGUUUGAACACCAAAAAGUUUUUUUCACAGUCACAUCAUAUAUCAAAUUACUACAAAUCAUUCAAAACUAUUCAGUAUCAAAUGACAAAACAAGUUCCUGUAUAUCAAUUAUAAAAAAAAUAAAAAUAACGCCAUCUUUUUAAUUUUAAAUACGAAACAAUUUUCAUACAUUAAUAAUGAAAACAUAUUGAUAUGAUAUUCCACACUAAACUAAAUGUAUCUAGAUGUGUUAAUACAUGCUGUAAAUAAGCUCCAAGCGUAGAUUUCUCUCUAUAAGUAAAUUCUUCAGAAAUAAUAAUAAUAAUAACAUGUAACAAAUGUUUCUAAGAUAUAAGAGUAAAAUCAAAACAGACAAAGUUUAUACCAAAAUUCUAAUCAGAAACUUAUUCGUAUUAUUUGUAAGACUUGUAUACUUGUAAUGGAUACUUUACACCAGUCGUGAUAACGUCGCUUUUCUCUUGCGGUAUAUACCCAAUGUAACAGAAUUAAAAACGCCGCAAAUCCAACCGCAUUUUUGUAUAAAAUAUAAUAAAUGUAAACUAGUCUGAGCGGUACGGCGACUGGUGUGAACCCCAUCUUACACCCCACCUUGCCUAAAUUGAACAUUUAUAUAAUUUGAUUCGACAAUUUGCUUUAAUUUGUUUCCUUAGUAAUAGAACUGUAAUAAUAAACCUAGGUAACAUAGAGAAAGGCCGAAUGAUAUGUUUACUGGCGACAUCUCUCAAAAAUCGCGAAUUUAUCAUGUAGUUGUAAUAAUUGCAAUGUUAAAGAAAAAAGUUUUUAAUAUAACACGUCCGAGUUGUAAUUGAACCUGACAACAAGAUAUUAAAAGAUUAAAUCUGUUUAAUUAUACUGUUAGAGAUUUUAUAAAUAUUUGAUAAACAUUCCUGAUACGAAGUUUUUAUUACUAGUUGUUGACGCUCACAUUCCUCGAUGUGGUACAAGACAAUACGAGACUAAAUCUAAAAAGUAUUUUAUGUGCAGGUUCGAUUACAACUUGGGAACUCACACGCCAAAAGUAAAGUCGCCAAAUGGAAUCGCACAAACUGACGCAAGCGACAAUAAGCAAUGCGCGAGUCACGAACUUUUGGUGUGAGGUCAAAGAUUGUUGAACAUCUAUCUAGUCAGGGGACCCGUACACAUUGUAAAUAUAGAACAGAAGCUACCGACGGGUUCGCGAACAUUGCACAAAACGAAUAACAAAGUAUUACAAAUACAUAAUUUAUAUCAACAUAGAGCUUUAAGCGAACAAUCGCGAUACUGUAUUAAAUACAGUGAUUUUUAUUAUACACAAGUGCCACUGCUAUUGUGAAAAGCUAAACAAGAUUGAGAAAUGUAUAAAAAAGACAAACGAAUAUAGGAAUAUUUUAUUAGGAAAUGUAGGCAGGCGUAUGGACAAUGCAGCUAGUAUAGUUUAAAGAAAUGAUUAAAUAUGCAUUUUUAUCGACGGCUCUCGCUGGUACGAAAACAGUUGUUAUACAAUUAAGAGACCGAUAGAAUCACGAACGAUAGAAAACUUAUUCGACGGCAUAGGCGUAGGUUCAUAUUUCAGGCUUUUCUACAAGAUCUCAAAACAUAUAAGUAUCAUAAUAGUCAUAUUUUUAAAAUACCAUUGUCACCGCCUACAAAGUUCCGGGCUAGACUCCCCACAACUUGCGCCUAUGUCCGUACAUUCGCGAUAAACGGACUCAAUAUCCGAACACUGACAAUAGUCCGUCCCCAACAUAAUUCAAAUGCAUUUGAAAGUAUAGACUGAUCAACCGCUCGUUUGGCAAAUGUAGAUGCGGGCUCGACUAACAAACUAAACAGUAUAACCGCUGCCAAGUUCUAUUAAACUUUUUUUAGUUAAAAACUAACUUUAGUAUGCCCAUUUUCUGAUAGCCUGAUUUAUAUUUCACUUAGUUUAAAUUUAUCGUAAGUCAUUUUCUUUAAAACUAACCCCAUCUUUGAUCUUUUACAGAUUAUGUAUUAAAAUCAGGCUUCCAGAAUAGGUAUUAUUAAUAUAAAUGUAUAUUACAACAUCCGAUUUCUUAUAACCAAGAUAUUAUCUGGAAUUAAAUGAUAAACUCAACGUAUAGUCACGCACAAUGUUUGUGAUCAUAAUAACGAACAAAAAACAAAAAACUCUCACAUAUGCCUUUAUAGUAUAACACAUAACAACUUUAUAAUGUUCGAAAUUCCAAAGUAUUUUCAAUUUUAGAUUAUAAUUAUAUUAGUAUAGAGUAGUCUUGUUUGAUUGGGACGAUGAACUUCUAAUCGUCCAUGACUCCUUUGUGAAACUAUACAUGUCUACCGAUCGCGAAAAAGCUCUCUGACAACCAAAUAAGAUCUCUUUUAUAUUCAGAAACUACUUCUAAAACUCGAUUUGUUUCAAUCGAACAAGACCAAUAGGCCAAUAUAAGAGGCCAAUAAAAUUAUUGCUUCAAAUAGUAAUUAGUACUAAGUACUCUUUGACUUAGAGCACGAUAAAAAUUAUAUUGAAAAAAAAAAUGUUUAAAUAAUUUCCUUCAAAUAUUUUUUAUGACAUUUAUAAAAGUUCGAAUGCGUAUGAACAUAUAUUUUGUAAGGCAACGAAGAGACUUACCAACAUACAUUCCCUGAGACUGAGAAAUGAAUAGAAGAGGCUAAGAUCAUAAUAACAACGUUAUAAAUAUUAAAAACAAAAUAAUAUUAAGAAAUCGGAGCGCACGAAUAAGAGAGAAUCAAAUUCAGAAAUAGAUUUGAAUAAAAUUAUCAUAGUAUUUCAAUAAAAAAAAGUUGACAUUUGCAUCCAAUUUCUGAUACAUCCGAAUUUUUUACAACUAAUUUUGGUGAUUUAUUAUGAUGGUCAACUUUCAGUAGCUAAUAGCAUAUCAAAUGAUUUUCAUAUACUUCUCAAAUCUCUUACUCCUGCGCUCUGAUAUUAAGAACUAUAAACAACACAACUUGAGUGUUUUAUUUUUUAAUUGUGAUAUCGACACGAGUUGUACUAAGAACAAUCGCUGAGCAUUAUUCAUUCCCGCCUCUUAAUUUAUUGUUAUCAAUAUUAUUUAACUCUGUCCUAUGAAUCUCUAAAAACGCGUUAGUGAAGUUACAAAAAAAGGUUACAGAUAUAUCCAACCUUUUUAGACUUGCUCAAUAUAAUGGUAUUAAAAUUGUGAUCUACAAUAUCGAAGUAAAAAAAUCCCAUUUAUAUUGUUCUGUCGAUGAUAAUCCACUUUUGAAAUGUACAGAUAAUAUUUUUUAUAGCUUAGUGUAUUAUAGCUAUCAAUCCUGUACAAAUUCGAUUAAAAUAUCGAUAUUAUCGACAGGUCAAUAUAAAAUAUCGAUUCCAAAAUUAUCGAUAAAUCACUUUCUAUAUAAUAUUAACAUUUAUAAACCUUUCUAAACAAAAGUGUGGUAUAUAAAUAAAAUUGUAACAAAAAAAUAAACAGUAUUUUAAUGAGGACAGAGUUCAAAUAGCAAUUUUUAUACCACCAAGACUCAAUAAGGCUGUGAAACAACUAAGAUCGGUUUGGCAUCAAACGAUGAACAAAUAUCAAUUUAUAUAAUAGGGAAUAAAUCAUUGUAACAUAUUAUCUUACACGGAGAGUUAGAAACUCUGAUCGGUACAAAACAAGCCAUUUAUAUACAGCGGGUAUUAUUUUUAAUCUUAAUAGAAAAUCAUAAAUGUUAUAUCAUCCCCAAAAGUUGGGUUUAGAUCGCCUCAGAAUUUGUAACUUUUCGUGUAUUUAGGCGUACACAGUGCGAUUUCUUUCCAACACUUUAGUACCAACGGAUUUAUUGAAGUACUCGCCAUAUAAGUGUCGUUUGAAAUCGCACUCGUGUAGCAUUCUAUCGCUAAACCGAAUUGCCUAGAAUUAGACGAAUUGUUGUACUUAUCCAUCUUAUAGUGAUAAUUAAAGGGAAUGUGGAGAAGGGAGAGAACUGAUAUAUUAACAACAGUUGUGUAAGGUCCAUUUGUUAUGUUGUAUUCUUUAAUUGUUUUGUUUGCUAACUGUUGGACGGACCUACAAUGUUUUUAUCUAUUUUGAGAGUCUAAUUAAGUUUAACGUGAAGAUCUGAUUAUUUCUGUCUUUGAAUGUUGUGUCAAAAGGUUUACCAGUUUUUUGAAAUUUAAAUAAAUAUAAAUCUAUGUAAACUAUAUGUGUAAGUGAUGUUUUCAUAUUAAAAUAAUUUCUACGUGUAAAUGCAUAGCUUUUGCAUGGAAUAAUUGAAUAUUUUGAUAGUUUAUGGCGUUUAGUGAUAUAUGACUUUCUGCCUCUCACAGCUUUUAUUGUUAAAUGUAGGCGAAUUUCUGUGUAACGUAUUUAUACAAAUUCAUAGAUGUUAUCACGUUAUUUGACAUUGCACUGACGGGUUUGACAGUUCCACUAAGUUUUGACAUUGCUUUCUCAUGCAGCUGACACUAUAACAAAGCUUGAUAAUGAUUAACCGAUAAAUAAAUAUUUAAUAAUCUGUAUUGUUUUAUGUUCAUCUGUCAAAACUGUCAAAUGAUAUCGCCCGGGAGGCCUGUACUUAUGAUAUUGAUGAUUAUUGAUUGAAAAAUCUGUAUUCUAUGUAUUGUCCGGAAUUAUUCUUUAUAUGUAUUUCACGAUUAAAUAAAUAUUCAUGUGUAGUAGUUA